CUCAUCCCAUCCUGGGGGUGGAGAAGCUCCCAAGGGUCCGGCUGUUCGCCGGUUAAAAGGGCACGCGAGCUGGGUUCAGAACGUCGUGAGACAGUCAAGUUUGGGCUGUCUAUAAAUCUGGCUAUAUGCUGGAAAGUUUGAGUAUCCCAUAUUACUACUUGACUAUUUAGUCUCUAUAUGCUAUUCUAUAGAGAUUUUUUCCUGAAAAAGGGGAUCCGCUAAUGCGGAAAAUAGUCAAGAGUAAAAAUAUAUGGGUGCAGACAACCAGCAGGGAAGGCUAGAAAGGAAGUGGGGCGAUUACAUUGCUGGUUUUGUGGAUGGUGAGGGAAGUUUUUCCAUCACUAUUCAGAGAAGUAAGAAUGUAAGAUUAGGAAAUUUAGAAAAGUGGUAAAAAUGAUGGAGAGAAAACUUCAUCUUACCAUCUAGGGAUCAAAAGAGAUUUUAAAAAUCACCCACUCCAUGAAUAGCAGUGGUAGAUACAGGAGAGUACCACUUAAGGAGCUAAUUUCCUUUCUAGAACCCUCAGAGACUGUACGCCAGACCCCGACGUAACGUCGGGGAAGAUACAGUCCGACCUCACCGGCGACGGUGAGAUUCCGAUGGAAACAUCGGAACGCUCCGACGGAAAGUCGGAGUCAGUAUCCCGACGGAAUGUCGGGAGAAAGUAACAGAGUGUCGGUCUCUAUCCACCGUGGGCGCUGGAUUCCUGAAGGGGGGCUGUUCCUAGUACGAGAGGACCGGAACAGGCGCACCUCCGGUGUACCAGCUAUUCCGCCAGGAGUAAAGGCUGGGUAGCCGUGUGCGUUAGAGAUAAGCGCUGAAGGCAUCUAAGUGCGAAGCUCGCCCUAAGAUUAGGAAUCCCUCUCCGACGUUACGUCGGAGUGUAGGGCACUCAGAGACUAUGAGGUUGAUAGGGUGCAGGUGUAAGUCCGGUAACGGAUUUAGCCAAGCACUACUAAUUGCCCAAUCGACUUGAUAUC
rnacentral:rRNA from 1 species